AUUAACUCCGUCUCCUGACCAGCAGCUGAAUUCAUGGAUGUUUAAUUGGGACCUUUGAUAGCAAUACAUUCCAAGGUUCAGAGAUUCAGAUUUAUUUUAAGUUCAUCAUUUAGUUAGACCUUUUCUGAUAGAGUUGCUAUCCAGUCCCAGUUUCCAGAUACGAGGUUUUUCGAGGUUCAACUAAUCCCAGGUUUUCUAAAGCCACAUCAGAAGAAGUGCCAGUUAAAGCAGCCUUAAGUAGCGAAAGGAAGAAGAAGGAAAACUGUUCAGGUCCCAAGCAAGCAGAGAAUAAAGAGUGCCAGAGUGAAUCAAAGCAGCCAGAAGUCAGCUGAAUCAUCAAUGACUUCCUCCAGCAUCAUGUCGCCAUGAUGUGGGAGAGGUGGAGGCGUCCUGAAAUAUGAAUGGCCCUGAUGACAGCGAUUGGAAUGAAAAAUUUAAGACGUGCAAAGAGCAGAUUGGUAAUGAAAGGACGGGGAGUGAACGAAUACUUACACCUGCUGGAUUUCAGAAGGGACUGGAAUCGUGCGAAUCAUGACAGCAUUGUUUUCUUUUUGCGUCUGAACAACGGAAAGGCGUAUGUUGUCUGAUGGUUAUUUUGCUCAACAUCUUGGAUCACUAAAAGCACUAGCACAUAUGGAAACACACCACAUUGUUACAUAAUCCUUACUGCAGAGUCACAGUACAGUGCUGUUCUGUUUAGCAGACAUACGUCCAUUUAAUUUGUAUUGUAUAUUGAAUUUCAUUACCACCAUGUAUAGUAGGCCUCUGUGUAUUUUAUCUGAUUUCAUAUGUGAGUGACUGACAGCUGAAGUACAUCAAUCAUAGCACAGUUCAGUAUCGUGGGUGGCGAUUUUUUUUUUU